AGCACCUACCAGCACAUUUUGCAAAUUUUGGGCAGUCUCCAGCCACACAUGACGCUCCACAGGCAGAUGUCAGUCUACACAGACUUCAUCCAGGUUUACCUGACUACCAACAACACCAAAGCCUGUGUGUCGGCCUCCAACGGCAGUGCAGAUUGGCUGAUGAAGAAUCUGGGUCCGUUUUCAAGACUACUGACCGUCAGAGAGCUGAUUCAUCUCAACCCAGACUU